rnacentral:snoRNA from 1 species
AAGACCGUACUUUUUAGGAUCAUUUCUAUAGUAUGUGUCCCGUCUUUGUUCUCUAACAUAGACAACAUUCACAACCACGAUGAUGAGUGGUAGUGUUUUCUUCUGAGCGGGAAGCAGAUUACUGAUGUUGCUCUUAUGGUAACAUUUGGUAAUCAUUGAUGACCGUUCCCUUGGGAGGAAGAAAGCGCAUUCUGAGUGGUU